rnacentral:misc_RNA from 1 species
UUUUUUUUUUUUUUGGUAUUCUUUCAGUCUGAUUGACUUGAUAAAUAAAUUUGCUAAAUUUAUUAAUUCAUGCAGAUUCACUUAUCAACUUGACUUUAGUACGUGGUUUCAGAAACAUCCGGACCCAUCAUGUAUUGUCCUGAUUGCAAAGGAAUUUGCCUCUGGCAAUAUGGGAUCCACCCAGUUGUGUUGAAUAUUGAUGCAUAUUGGAUGUAUCAUCUGGUGCAAAGCAAGAUACACAGUGACAUUUCAGCCAUCUUAUUAAAAACAGUUAGGAAAAAAAAAUCUCACUUGGUUUAGGAUGUUAGGUUUCUGAAAAUGAGAAGAACCAUGCCAUUUCACGAAACCCAGCCUUUGUACUCCUUGAGUUCUUCGCCUUUCUUCAAAUUUGGUUAAAUUUGUGAUGUAGUAUUGGAAGAGGAUUAAACUUAGGAAUUAUAUUCAUUGUA